rnacentral:lncRNA from 1 species
UUUAUUCGUUCACAGUCUAUUAUUGUUUGGCAGACGACUAAAACACACUCGAACUGAUUUCGGGCACAGACAGCUUCACAUAUGCUGAAAGAAACAACAAAGCCUGAUCACACUCCAUAUACGUAAGAGAGCACGCAUGGAGCUCUACGGGUAGGCUGAUGGGUUGGCCACCAGGUAGCCUUCUGCGGCCUUCAUGAUCCCCGUCAAAGUCUCCUUGGACUUCACUAUCUCCCCCUCGUUGUCCUCAACCCCGGGCAAGAACUUGUAGGUGGACACCACCUUCAACACACUCCCGCCGCCGGCCUUCGGCUCGAACUUGAAAUGGGUCGACGCCGUCUCCAGCUUGCUCCCGAUGUGGCCUCCUUCCACG